GGGAUUGGUUUAUCAAUCUUAGUGCCUCUGAUUAUCCUCUUAUAACUCAAGAUGAUCUUCUUGAUACAUUUUCAACCAUAAACCGAAAUCUGAACUUUAUUGAGCACACUAGUCAGUUGGGUUGGAAGGAGGAUAAACGAGCAAUGCCUUUGAUUAUAGAUCCUGGGCUCUACUCAACAACAAAGACGGAUGUAUACUGGGCCACACCACGUAGAGGUUUGCCAACAGCAUUCAAAUUAUUCACUGGUUCGGCAUGGAUGGUUCUCACACGCCCAUUCGUAGAGUACUUAAUUUGGGGUUGGGAUAAUCUACCAAGAAUCUUACUCAUGUACUAUACGAACUUCGUCUCCUCUCCUGAAGGCUAUUUUCACACUGUAAUAUGCAAUGUGCCAGAGUUUGCUCAGACGGCUGUCAAUCAUGAUUUGCACUACAUUUCUUG
rnacentral:misc_RNA from 1 species